UGCAUAGUUUAAUUGGGAAAACAGCAGUCUCCAAAACUGCAAGAUAUAGGUUCAAAUCCUAUUGCACGUACCA
rnacentral:tRNA from 1 species